CCUACGGGUGGCAGCAGUGGGGAAUAUUGGACAAUGGGGGGAACCCUGAUCCAGCCAUGCCGCGUGUGUGAAGAAGGCCCUCGGGUUGUAAAGCACUUUCAGUGAGGAAGAACGCCUGGUGGUUAAUACCCAUCAGGAAAGACAUCACUCACAGAAGAAGCACCGGCUAACUCCGUGCCAGCAGCCGCGGUAAUACGGAGGGUGCGAGCGUUAAUCGGAAUUACUGGGCGUAAAGCGCGCGUAGGUGGCUUGAUAAGCCGGUUGUGAAAGCCCCGGGCUCAACCUGGGAACGGCAUCCGGACCUGACAAGUAGAGGGGAAGAGGGGGAAGUAAGAUUCCCCGUGGAGGGGUGGAAUUGGGAGGAAAUCGGAAGAAAACCAGGUGGGGAGGGGGGCCUCCGGAACGGACCUGGACCCGGGGGGGGAAAGCGGGGGUAGCAAACAGGAUUAGAUACCCGAGUAGUC
rnacentral:rRNA from 1 species